AGCUCUUCCAGCUGUAGUGAAUUCAGGUGGAGGUGGCAUCAUCCAGGACAAUGGCGUCGUCUUCGCUCCCACUGCCGAGGUUAUUCACCAGCUUGUUCAUCAGAUUCCUGUUCUGUUCACUGGACCGCUCAUGGUUGUUCAGGGCUCUAAACGACAGCAUGAAGAAAAGGAAAGAAAAAACAACAAGUAAGCUUACAGCGACAGUAGAAGAAACAUGAGUAAAAAGCAAAUUGAUGAUAUGCAGAAAAAAGAGUCAAGGAAAUAAUUUUCACUGCCCCAAAAUUCAUCCUGCCAAGCAUUUAUAGCAAGAACCUUUGCCCCUGAUUGACUGGAAAUCAAUAUCUAAUAGAUGUCAUUUUGCCACAUGAAUGAAGAGUUCAUUCUGAAAAUUAUUUGGCGUUCUUGGCUUAAAACUUAGUAUAUUAAUAGCAUUGUUUAUCUAUUUGACUCACCAUCUCACUUUUUAAGUCUGUACCUAUUUUGCCUUUGUGUCAUUAAACUGAUUUUCCUAACACAGAUUUCCUUGUUUUAUUGUUCCUUUCCCGAUUAUGUCUAUUGAUGACAGAUACAAAGAAAAGAAAUUAACACAGAGAACACUGUUGCCUCAUUAACACAUCAAUAAUAAGAAGAACAAAAUUACAGACAUACUAGACAUAAUGGUGAAUCUCAAAAGAAAACUUCACUCAUGCCAUAGGGUACUUAUAUUCACAUUCAUAUGAUCAUAUUGCCUGUUAAAACGAAAAUAGUUUGUUAUACAAGCUACUCUGAUUUGUUAGCUAUGUAAGUACUAUGGGGAUAUUAAUAACUGUUUUUGCAAAUUUCAUAAAUAGAUGUCAGA